CUCGUUCGAUUACCGAAGUUAAGCAUCGUAGAGCUAGGUCAGUACUUAGAUGGAGGACCGCUUGGGAACACCUGGUACUGUAAG
rnacentral:rRNA from 1 species